rnacentral:misc_RNA from 1 species
GAUGAAGAACGUAGCGAAAUGCGAUACGUAAUGUGAAUUGCAGAUCUCUCAGUGAACCAUCGAAUUUUUGAACGCACAUAGCGCCCGCCGGUCAUUCCGGCGGGCAUGCCUGUCCGAGCGUCGAUGACGCCGCUCGAGCCCCCGUGCUCGGUGUUGGGGCGCUAGGUCUCCCAGAGGCCUAGGCCCCCAAGUAGCAGUGCGCGGUCCGGCUGCGGGCCCCGGGUACAGUAACUUCACUGUUGAGAUGCCCUGGGAGCCGCUGGCUGGGUCAGCCGUAGAACCCCCGACAUAGGCCUUCCUGUCCGCCCCCGGCGGGGAGGGAGACCGCCUAAUGUUGACCUCGGAUCAGGUAGGACUACCCGCUGAACUUAAGCAUAUCAAUAAGCGGAGGA